rnacentral:rRNA from 1 species
UACGGAGGGGGCCAGCGUUGUUCGGAAUCAUUGGGCGUAAAGGGCGCGUAGGCGGCCACGCAAGUCGAAUGUGAAAUCCCUCGGCUCAACCGAGGAACUGCAUCCGAAACUGUGAGGCUAGAGUCCUGGAGAGGGUAGUGGAAUUCCCAGUGUAGCGGUGAAAUGCGUAGAUACUGGGAGGAACACCGGUGGCGAAGGCGGCUACCUGGACAGGUACUGACGCUGAUGCGCGAAAGCUAGGGGAGCAAACAGG